rnacentral:lncRNA from 1 species
GUAAACCACAGGCUUCUCAAUUCUUGUAUGAUCAUGAACUAGGUGAAAACCUAGAGCUGACCGAGUGCGAGAUCCUCAUGGAUAAUCAUCGAGGUCGUUAAACACCCCUUACAGUAAACUUUGGUUAAAUUAAAAAAAAAAAAAAAUCGAAAUGUAAUAGUCUGAACACAUUUCACCUCUCAUUCCACUAAAUAUUAAAUUGCAGUUACAAGUAUCACAAAACUUCCCUGACCUCCUUUCUUUAACCAUAAUAGAGGGAGGAGGGAAGGAGGGGUCCAGAUCCCGUAAUCCCGGGCUUAAAAACACGAAUUCCGGCGAGGUCCAGAAUUAAAAAAAUUUAAAUCCCGACUACCCGAAAUUCGGAAAUAGAAUUCCCGGAUCCCAAAAGGGUCAAUCCCGAAAUCCCGAGCUUAAAAACACCCGAUCCCGGAGUUCCGAUAAAGGUUCUACCCCCCCCCCCC